GUCCAUGAACUUAUCAUAACUUCCCAUAUAACUGUCUGAAGUCGUCCCCUUCCCCCCGGGUUCAGUUAAAUUUCUCUCGUUACACCCUCUUUAGAGACACCUAACCCUACCUGUCCCUAAAUGCUAAUUCUCGCCGGUCGGUGGCCCCACCCCUAACCCGUCCCAAAUUAGCACCAUAUGACCCUGAACCUCUUUUCUUCAAAAAUCCAGAAACACUUGCCCUCGAAUCCCCCUACAGCUCUUCAAAUUUUAAAUCUAAGUUGAAGAGCCAAACGCUAAAAUUCCAAAACUCUCAAAUCGAGAUUUCAGUAAAGGAUUAGGGUCAAAAUUGACGUUAUUCGUGUGUUUCCAACGCGAACACACGAUUAAUAUCAAUCUUUGUCAAAAAGUCUAAAGGUCUUGAGGACAAUUGAUGUUCUUUGCCCAUCUGCCUAUGUGUAGGUAUUUUUUUUGGCCAUCCUCUUUUUCUUACUUUAUCUUAUUUCUGUUCUCACUAAUCUCUUCUAUUUUUUUUUGUUUUUUUUCCCGUUCCACAAACCCUUCUGCUAUGCAUGAUAAUGUUUAAGCUUGUUGUAGUCCACAUUUUGUUUCCUUUUUAUUUUUUUUCUUUCUCACUACUAUUCUCUUUCGAAUUAGUUUUCUUUCCAUGUUAAUAAUUUAUAACUUGUUAGUUUAUGUUUGUUUUUAAUUUUUGUGUUACUUCCAAUUAAUCCAUGCUUUUGUUUAUUACAUUUUCUUUUAAGGAAAAUAACACUGAUUUUGCGUAUUCUAUUUAGUCUAUUAUUCUAUGGGUUUUGAGUAUAAUUUAUGCUUGGGCUAUGCAAAUCAGAAGCCCAAAGGAAAGGGGAUUAGCUCUGGUCUUGCAAGCCAUGUCAGUUUAACCUUGGGUUUUUGACCCUGUUGGUUCUUGAAGUAAAAACAGGGAGUUUAAGGGUUAGUUUAGGAAAUUUAGACUAUGGAAUCUAUUGUAACUGAUGUGACGACCCCACCAGUCUUCUUAAGGAUUAAUGUCUUGAUCCUCUAUUAACUACUUUACUCAAGUUUAAUUCUGCUAAUUUAAUUUGCGGAGAUGCUCUAUUUUGAGUUUCGGAGAGUUUUGCGGCAUUUAGACCCUAAAUGAGAAUUUAAGUAUUGGAAACUCUACGGUAGUCGGAAUAGUGAGAAGAUGACCUCAGAAUGGAAAUCUGAUGGUUCAGUUAGCUUCAUUGGGUGAUUUUGGUGUUAGGAGAGUGUUCAGAUAAUGUUUUGGAGGUCCGUAGCUGAUUUAAGCUCGAAAUGCCGAAAGUUGAAUUUUAGAAGUCUCCGGUCCGAUAGCGAAAUUUUGAUUCAAAGGCUGGAAUGGAAUUCCUAGAGUUGCACCAACUCCAUCAUGUCAUUUUGGAUGUGUGUAAAAUUUUGAUUAUUCGAAGAUGGUCUAGUUUGAUUUUUGAUUGAAAGCAUUUUUUGAGAAAAGUUGAGUUCUUAUGCUUAAAUGCUUGAUUAAUUCGAGUUUCUAAUGUUAUUUUAGGUGGUUUAAUGAUUGGUACAAGUUUGAAUGAGGUAUUAGGUGUUAUUGGUGCUUCUGGUUGAGGUCCCGAGAGCAUCGGUAUGAUUUCAGAUGGUUGACGGGAGGGUUGAAGAAGUGUGCAACAAUUGUAGCAUUUGUUGCUUCUAGUAUUUUUGCAUAUGGGGGCUGGGAACCACAGAUGCAGUGCAACAGAAGUGGCUUUGGUCCAUUCCUUCAGAAAUCGCAAAUGCGGUGUGAGGUCCACAGAAGCGGACCCAUAUGAGUGGUUAGAGGUCUGCAGAUGCAAAAAUUGGACUUUUAAGUGUGGGUCGCAGAUGUGACAUUUGGUUCGCAGAAGUGAGACCGCAGAUGCGGUCCCAGGGCCGCAAAUGAGGUCCCAGGGCCGCAAAUGCGGAAGUAGCUGGGCAGAUCAUAUAAAUAGUUGCCUUUGUGAAAAUUGGCUAUUCUUCAACCAUUUUUAUUCGGAUUUGAAGCGUCUAAGAGAAAUUUUUGGGGAAAUCAAAGGGAAAUUACUUGGAGGUAAUGUCCUUGACUUCAUAAUUCGUUUUUAUGUGAUUAAAUACCUUAUUAGUGGUGAGAAAUUUGAGAAAAAUGAGUAAUCAAUGUUUGAAUUUAAGAGGCCUUAAAAUGAGGAUUUUAAGGGUCAUUUGGACUCUGAUUUUUGUGUUCUUCUUAUGAAUAGAUCGUGAGAGUAUGAGGUUUAUGAAAAUAUAAAUUUCACCCGAUUCCUAAAUUUUGGCCUGAGGGGCAUUUUGGUCAUUUUUCAUUAUUUUGCAUAUAACUUAGAAUUGAUUAAAACGUCAAUUAUUUGAGGUGUUAUUUGCAAUAUGCAAUUGAAUUGAAUAGAUUUGGGCCCUUUGGAGUCGCAUACUCGAG
rnacentral:lncRNA from 1 species